AUUGAACGCUGGCGGCAGGCCUAACACAUGCAAGUCGAACGGUAGCACAGAGAGCUUGCUCUCGGGUGACGAGUGGCGGACGGGUGAGUAAUGUCUGGGAAACUGCCCGAUGGAGGGGGAUAACUACUGGAAACGGUAGCUAAUACCGCAUAACGUCGCAAGACCAAAGGGGGGGACCUUCGGGCCUCACACCAUCGGAUGUCCCCAGAUGGGAUUAGCUCGUAGGUGGGGUAAUGGCUCACCUAGGCGACGAUCCCUAGCUGGUCUGAGAGGAUGACCAGCCACACUGGAACUGAGACACGGUCCAGACUCCUACGGGAGGCAGCAGUGGGGAAUAUUGCACAAUGGGCGCAAGCCUGAUGCAGCCAUGCCGCGUGUAUGAAGAAGGCCUUCGGGUUGUAAAGUAUUUUCAGCGGGGAGGAAGGCGGUGAAGUUAAUAACUUCACCGAUUGACGUUACCCGCAGAAGAAGCACCGGCUAACUCCGUGCCAGCCGCCGCCGUAA
rnacentral:rRNA from 1 species